GGUUACUGAAUCCAGAUAAACUCCGAAUUCCAUAUAUCUAUACGCGGGAGUCAGACUGCGAGUGAUAAGAUCCGUAGUCGAAAGGGAAACAGCCCAGAUCACCAGUUAAGGUCCCCAAAUCUAUGCUAAGUGGAAAAGGAUGUGGAGUUGCGUAGACAACUAGGACGUUGGCUUAGAAGCAGCCAUCAUUCAAAGAGUGCGUAAUAGCUCACUAGUCGAGUGGCGCUGCGCCGAAAAUUUACCGGGGCUAAGCAUAGUACCGAAACUGUGGAUGUGCGUAAGCACGUGGUAGGAGAGCGUUCUAAUUGCGGCGAAGCCUAAUCGAGAGGAUAGGUGGAGCGAUUAGAAGUGAGAAUGCCGGUAUGAGUAGCGAAAGAUAGGUGAGAAUCCUAUCCGCCGAAAGACUAAGGUUUCCUGGGGCAGGCUCGUCCGCCCAGGGUAAGUCGGGACCUAAGGUAAGGCCGAGAGGCGUAGCCGAUGGACAACAGGUUGAGAUUCCUGUACUAAUAUUAAUCGUUAAGAGCAAUGGAGGGACGCAGUAGGCUAAUGGCGCAUGUAACUGGAAUCAUGUGUAAGCGUCAAGGC
rnacentral:rRNA from 1 species